rnacentral:rRNA from 1 species
GGGUUGUGAGGUUAAGCGACUAAGCGUACACGGUGGAUGCCCUGGCAGUCAGAGGCGAUGAAGGACGUGCUAAUCUGCGAUAAGCGUCGGUAAGGUGAUAUGAACCGUUAUAACCGGCGAUUUCCGAAUGGGGAAACCCAGUGUGUUUCGACACACUAUCAUUAACUGAAUCCAUAGGUUAAUGAGGCGAACCGGGGGAACUGAAACAUCUAAGUACCCCGAGGAAAAGAAAUCAACCGAGAUUCCCCCAGUAGCGGCGAGCGAACGGGGAGCAGCCCAGAGCCUGAAUCAGUGUGUGUGUUAGUGGAAGCGUCUGGAAAGGCGCGCGAUACAGGGUGACAGCCCCGUACACAAAAAUGCACAUGCUGUGAGCUCGAUGAGUAGGGCGGGACACGUGGUAUCCUGUCUGAAUAUGGGGGGACCAUCCUCCAAGGCUAAAUACUCCUGACUGACCGAUAGUGAACCAGUACCGUGAGGGAAAGGCGAAAAGAACCCCGGCGAGGGGAGUGAAAAAGAACCUGAAACCGUGUACGUACAAGCAGUGGGAGCACGCUUAGGCGUGUGACUGCGUACCUUUUGUAUAAUGGGUCAGCGACUUAUAUUCUGUAGCAAGGUUAACCGAAUAGGGGAGCCGAAGGGAAACCGAGUCUUAACUGGGCGUUAAGUUGCAGGGUAUAGACCCGAAACCCGGUGAUCUAGCCAUGGGCAGGUUGAAGGUUGGGUAACACUAACUGGAGGACCGAACCGACUAAUGUUGAAAAAUUAGCGGAUGACUUGUGGCUGGGGGUGAAAGGCCAAUCAAACCGGGAGAUAGCUGGUUCUCCCCGAAAGCUAUUUAGGUAGCGCCUCGUGAAUUCAUCUCCGGGGGUAGAGCACUGUUUCGGCAAGGGGGUCAUCCCGACUUACCAACCCGAUGCAAACUGCGAAUACCGGAGAAUGUUAUCACGGGAGACACACGGCGGGUGCUAACGUCCGUCGUGAAGAGGGAAACAACCCAGACCGCCAGCUAAGGUCCCAAAGUCAUGGUUAAGUGGGAAACGAUGUGGGAAGGCCCAGACAGCCAGGAUGUUGGCUUAGAAGCAGCCAUCAUUUAAAGAAAGCGUAAUAGCUCACUGGUCGAGUCGGCCUGCGCGGAAGAUGUAACGGGGCUAAACCAUGCACCGAAGCUGCGGCAGCGACGCUUAUGCGUUGUUGGGUAGGGGAGCGUUCUGUAAGCCUGCGAAGGUGUGCUGUGAGGCAUGCU